AAUGAACGCUGGCGGCGUGCUUUACACAUGCAAGUUGAGCGAGGCCAGGGGGCAACCCCUGAGUCGAGCGGCGAACGGGUGAGUAACGCGUGGAUAACCUGCCCUGAGGUGGGGAACAACCAGGGGAAACUCUGGCUGAUACCGCAUGAUACCGAGAGGUCAAAGGGGGCUCGCAAGGGCUCUCGCCACAGGAGGGGUCCGCGUCCGAUUAGCUAGUUGGUAGGGUAAUGGCCUACCAAGGCGACGAUCGGUAGCCGGCCUGAGAGGGUGAUCGGCCACACUGGAACUGAGACACGGUCCAGACUCCUACGGGAGGCAGCAGUGGGGAAUUUUGCGCAAUGGGCUAACGCCUGACGCAGCAACGCCGCGUGGAGGAUGAAGGUCUUUGGAUUGUAAACUCCUGUCGACCGGGAAAAAGCAACUCGACCUAACACGUCGGGAAGUUGAUUGUACCGGUGGAGGAAGCCCCGGCUAACUCUGUGCCAGCAGCCGCGGUAAUACAGAGGGGGCAAGCGUUAUUCGGAAUUAUUGGGCGUAAAGGGCGCGUAGGCGGCUUGGCAAGUGGAAGGUGAAAUCCCUCGGCCUAACCGAGGAACUGCCCUCCAAACUGCUUGGCUUGAGACCGGGAGAGGUGAGUGGAAUUCCCAGUGUAGCGGUGAAAUGCGUAGAUAUUGGGAGGAACACCAGUGGCGAAGGCGGCUCACUGGACCGGUACUGACGCUGAUGCGCGAAAGCGUGGGGAGCAAACGGGAUUAGAUACCCCGGUAGUCCACGCCGUAAACGAUGAGUGCUUGGUGUAGCGGGUAUCGACCCCUGCUGUGCCGAAGUCAACACAUUAAGCACUCCGCCUGGGGAGUACGGUCGCAAGGCUG
rnacentral:rRNA from 1 species